rnacentral:lncRNA from 1 species
UAAAAUGUAGCAUUUCUAUUUCAUUUAUAGGUUAGAAAAUAAUUUUCUCCCUUUUGCAGUUCUCACAUCUCAAAUUUUAAAUUGACAAUAUAUCUUUCUCCAGAUUUGAAAACUUUUAAUUAUUAUUAUUUCAAUCUUCCUAUUAAAUAUCUCUGAUAAAUUUCUGAAUUAUCUCUAUUUUCUUGAAAUUUAUUGAUCUUCCUAAAAACAGCUUUUUUAAAUUAUUUGUCUGAGAGAUCACACAUCUCUAUCACUCUAGAGUCAGUCUCUGGCACCUUAUUUUCUGGGGAGGUCAUAUCUUCCUGAAUGUUCCUAAUACUUGUGGAUCUGUGACAACGUCUGUGCAUUCAGGGAUUGGAUGUUUAUUUUAGUCAUUGCAGUCUGGCUUUGUUUGUGCCUGUCCUCCUUCAAAAGGCCUUCCAGGGAUUCUAA